CAAUAGCGUAUAUUAAAGUUGUUGCAGUUAAAAAGCUCGUAGUUGGAUUUCUGGUAGGAGCGACCAUACCGGACUUGAUUGUCCGCGUAAUGCGUUGUCUCCAGCCAUCCUCGUGGAGAUUGUUUUUGGCAUUAACUUGUCGAAUUCGGGACCCGCGUCAUUUACUGUGAAAAAAUUAGAGUGUUUAAAGCAGGCAAUUGGCUUGAAUACAUUAGCAUGGAAUAAUAAGAUAGGACUUUGGUGCUAUUUUGUUGGUUUGCACAUCAAGGUAAUGAUUAACAGAAUCAGUCGGGGAUAUUCGUAUGCAAAUGUCAGAGGUGAAAUUCUUGGAUUUUUUACAGACGAACAACUGCGAAAGCAUUUAUCAAGGAUGUUUUCAUUA
rnacentral:rRNA from 1 species